rnacentral:rRNA from 1 species
AACGAACGCUGGCGGCAGGCUUAACACAUGCAAGUCGAACGCAUCGCAAGAUGAGUGGCAUACGGGUGAGUAACGCGGGGGAACAUACCGGUUUCUACGGGAUAGCUCUGGUAAACGGGGAUUAAUACCGUAUACGCCCUACGGGUGAAAGAUUGAUCGGGGAAGUAUUAGCCCGCGUUGGAUUAGCUAGUUGGUGUGGUAAAGGCCUACGAAGGGGAGGAUCGAUAGCUGGUAUGAGAGGAUGAGCAGCCACAUUGGGACUGAGCCACGGCCCAAACUAUUACGGGAGGCAGGAGUGGGGAAUACUGGACUAUCGGCGGAAGCCUGAUCCAGCCAGGCCUCGUGAGUGAUGAAGGCCGUAGGGUUGUAAAGCUCUUUCACCGAUGAUGAUAAUGACGGUAGUCGGAGAAGAAGCCCCGGCUAACUUCGUGCCAGCAGCCGCGGUAA